rnacentral:ncRNA from 1 species
UUUUUCGCGAUGAAAUGGUAAGUACAUUGGUAAAGUCUUUAACAGAGAGCUUCGAAAUGCUGAGAAGAAGUAAGAUUAAACUUUUGGAAAAUGGCCAUUGAGCGAUUCACCCCGAGCAAUUUGUAAGGCGGUGACGGCUGCGUCCGAUAGCACGCUAGAGUAUGUUUGUACUUGAAGAGGAAUUGUGCGUGAGUACAGUUCGAACAUGAGGUGGUAACACGCAAAAAGGCGUCCUCAAG